GUGAAAAAGCGGAGAGGUUUUUUCCUCAAUAUUUUGUUGGUUGUCAAAGGAAGACUGAGUAGUUGUUGAGUCCACAACAGCGUGGCGUGGAGAGAUAUAUAAAUACCUUUAGGCAUUACCUCAGCUCUUCUCUGUCAAUAAGCCCUCGUGUAUUUCGCCAACCCCUUUCGUCCUUCCCCUUUCUCUGUCUCUCUGUUUCUUUCUUUGCUUUGAGGAAAUCUCAAGAGAAGAAAUGGGAGAGGAGAAGCCUAAGACGUCACCUCCCACCGGUGUAUGGCCUACCGUUAAGCCGUUCGUCAAUGGAGGUGCCUCUGGCAUGCUUGCCACCUGUGUCAUCCAGCCCAUCGACAUGAUUAAGGUGAGAAUCCAGUUGGGCGAGGGAUCAGCUGCUGAAGUUACUAAGAAAAUGCUUAAGAAUGAGGGUGUUGGUGCCUUUUAUAAGGGUUUGAGUGCUGGGUUGCUUAGACAAGCCACAUACACAACUGCCAGACUUGGAUCUUUCAGAUUUUGACUACACAAAGCACUUGAGGCAAAUGAUGGCAAGCCUUUACCUCUUUAUCAGAAAGCUUUGUGCGGUCUGACAGCCGGAGCAAUUGGAGCAUGUGUUGGCAGUCCUGCAGACUUGUCACUCAUUCGUAUGCAGCUGACACUACGUUGCCUGCAGCCCAGAGGCGCAAUUACAAAAAUGCAUUUCAUGCACUUAUCGUAUACUGCCGAUGAAGGAGUUUUGGCACUCUGGAAAGGUGCUGGCCCUACUGUUGUGAGGGCUAUGGCACUUAACAUGGGAAUGCUUGCGUCGUAUGAUCAAAGUGUUGAGUUCUUUAGGGAUUCCCUUGGUUUUGGCGAGGCUGCUACUGUUGUAGGGGCCAGCACUGUUUCUGGAUUUUUUGCUUCAGCUUGCAGUUUACCAUUUGAUUAUGUGAAAACUCAAAUACAGAAGAUGCAACCAGAUGCUGAAGGAAAGCUGCCAUACACUGGUUCUUUAGAUUGUGUCUUGAAAACCCUCAAGUCUGGUGGGCCCUUCAAAUUUUACACUGGAUUUCCAGUGUACUGUGUUAGAAUUGCCCCCCAUGUUAUGAUGACAUGGAUAUUCCUCAACCAAAUUCAGAAAGUGGAGAAAUCUAUCGGGUUAUAGUUUUAAUGCGGCGGGAAUAGAGAAAUAUCUGUGGGAAUUGAGUUCUAUGUCAUAAUAAUAUUCAACUUUGUGGUUUAUUUAGUAGCUGCUGGUUUUUGGUGAACUUUGACAUCCUUAAGCUCGGAAGGGAUGGAUGAUCAAGAAACUGUUUUGAAAAGCAGCAGACUGACAUAAUUGUUGUACCAAGCUGGAUCACAAACUUUAGAAUUAGGCAUUUGAUGAUGAUGGGGUUUCAAACAUCUUGCUUAGCGCAUAUAUAUUGAGGUUCACUUAAUUUGAGAUGCUGGAAAUAUUGUUUCAAAUAAUCCAUGUACUAUGACUAAAGACUGCCGCAUCAUAACCGGCUUCUUUUUGCUCUUGCUUAAAUUUUUGCAAGUUCAUCUUCUUCA